CACGACAAGAACAGUCUGGAGGAAAGGAUGGGAAUUUGGAAACAGGACAUCCCCACUGCUCUUCUGGAUGGGACUGAUGGAAACAGAGCUUCAUGCCUUGGGGGUGUGCAAGUGUUUGUGAUCAGAUUGCACAAGAUCAGUGCUUAGAAAGAUGUUCAGGAGCUGAAACACUCAUAAAUCUAAGGUUCUGAAAUCCUGCACGUUGGAACCACAGCUCUGUAACAUCAUUUAUUCCAAGAAGGAAAGAUAAACCCUUCAGUCAUUCAGGUGAUUAAAGCAGGAUUAAAUCACGCAGCUGCGAAAACUG